rnacentral:rRNA from 1 species
GAUGAACGCUAGCGGCAGGCCUAAUACAUGCAAGUCGGACGGGAUUCAGGAGCUUGCUUCUGAUGAGAGUGGCGCACGGGUGCGUAACACGUAUGUAACCUACCUUUAUCAGGGGGAUAGCCUCUCGAAAGAGAGAUUAAGCCCGCAUAAAAUCACAGCACAGCAUUGUGUAAUGAUCAAAUAUUUAUAGGAUAAAGAUGGGCAUGCGGAACAUUAGCUAGAUGGCGGGGUAACGGCCCACCAUGGCGACGAUGUUUAGGGGAUCUGAGAGGAUGGCCCCCCACACUGGUACUGGGACACGGACCAGACUCCUACGGGAGGCAGCAGUAAGGAAUAUUGAUCAAUGGGCGGAAGCCUGAACCAGCCAUGCCGCGUGCAGGAAGACGGCCCUACGGGUUGUAAACUGCUUUUAUACGGGAAUAAACCCAGAUACGUGUAUCUGGCUGAAUGUACUGUAAGAAUAAGGAUCGGCUAACUCCGUG